rnacentral:rRNA from 1 species
AUUGAACGCUGGCGGCGGGCCUAACACAUGCAAGUCGAGCGGAUGAAGGGAGCUUGCUCCUGGAUUCAGCGGCGGACGGGUGAGUAAUGCCUAGGAAUCUGCCUGGUAGUGGGGGAUAACGUCCGGAAACGGGCGCUAAUACCGCAUACGUCCUGAGGGAGAAAGUGGGGGAUCUUCGGACCUCACGCUAUCAGAUGAGCCUAGGUCGGAUUAGCUAGUUGGUGGGGUAAAGGCCUACCAAGGCGACGAUCCGUAACUGGUCUGAGAGGAUGAUCUGUCACACUGGAACUGAGACACGGUCCAGACUCCUACGGGAGGCAGCAGUGGGGAAUAUUGGACAAUGGGCGAAAGCCUGAUCCAGCCAUGCCGCGUGUGUGAAGAAGGUCUUCGGAUUGUAAAGCACUUUAAGUUGGGAGGAAGGGCAGUAAGUUAAUACCUUGCUGUUUUGACGUUACCAACAGAAUAAGCACCGGCUAACUUCGUG